rnacentral:rRNA from 1 species
UACGUAGGGUGCGAGCGUUGUCCGGAAUUAUUGGGCGUAAAGAGCUCGUAGACGGUGUGUCACGUCGGCCGUGAAAACCUGCAGCUUAACUGUGGCGUGCGGUCGAUACGGGCAUCACUGGAGUUCGGCAGGGGAGACUGGAAUUCCUGGUGUAGCGGUGAAAUGCGCAGAUAUCAGGAGGAACACCGGUGGCGAAGGCGGGUCUCUGGGCCGAUACUGACGCUGAGGAGCGAAAGCGUGGGGAGCAAACAGG